GACUGGUUUUCUGUUGAAAUUCGUCUUAAUUUGCUUGUUCCGAUUUUAGUUGAAAAUGAGCACUUGUAAAUUUGGCAAUUACUGACUGCGUUGCUUGCUUUUUGGAGUUUAAACACAGGCAUUUGCACAUUGUUUCUAUUUUGAAUAUUAAAGGAGAAAAAACCCCGCAACAUUUUAAUGCGAGUUUUUUGUUAAUAUGAAAAGGGACGUUUUACAAAAUACCGGGCCUUGCUUGCAGGCCCACUAUCAGUCCCCUGGGGCCUACACGCGGGCUAAUGAAAGCAAUUUUAUAUCUUUUCUCACUCUUGCGGCGAUUUUUUUAAGCGAAGUGAAUUGAACCAAUCAGAUGGUUUCACUUUAUAACCAAUCAUGUUGGGUUUCGGAUUGGAUCGCGCGAAAAAUCUCUCUUUACUGCGCACACUCAAGAAACAACAAAAAAAUUCAUUCAAAUUAUUUUUACAUGAAGUAGCCUCAAACUGGUUUGCGAGCUAUAUUUUAAUUUUUAAAACAAAAC